rnacentral:misc_RNA from 1 species
GAUGAAGAACGUAGCGAAAUGCGAUAAGUAAUGUGAAUUGCAGAAUUCAGUGAAUCAUCGAAUCUUUGAACGCACAUUGCGCCCGCCAGUAUUCUGGCGGGCAUGCCUGUUCGAGCGUCAUUUCAACCAUCAAGCCCCCGGCUUGUGUUGGGGACCUGCGGCUGCCGCAGGCCCUGAAAACCAGUGGCGGGCUCGCUAGUCACUCCGAGCGUAGUAAUACAUCUCGCUCAGGGCGUGCUGCGGGUUCCGGCCGUUAAAAGCCUUAUUUACCCAAGGUUGACCUCGGAUCAGGUAGGAAGACCCGCUGAACUUAAGCAUAUCAUAAGCGGAGGA